rnacentral:tRNA from 1 species
GGUUGCGUGGUCUAGUGGUAUGAUUCUCGCUUAGGGUGCGAGAGGUCCCGGGUUCAAUCCCCGGCGCGACCC